rnacentral:tRNA from 1 species
GCAGGUGUAGUUCAACGGCUAGAAUUCCAGCCUUCCAAGCUGGCUAUGUGGGUUCGAUUCCCAUCACCUGCUCCA